GAAAGUAAACAAGGGCGCAUGGCGGAUGCCUUGGCUCUCGGAGGCGAUGAAGGACGUGAUAAGCUGCGAUAAGCUCCGGGGAGGUGCAAAUAACCUUUGAUCCGGGGAUUUCCGAAUGGGACAACCCGGCGUGUUGAAGACACGCCACCUGAUCAUUUCAGGAGCUAACGCAGGGAACUGAAACAUCUUAGUACCUGCAGGAAAAGAAAAUAACAAUGAUUCCCCCAGUAGUGGCGAGCGAACGGGGAAUAGCCCAAACCGUUCAUGUUACGGCAUGAUCGGGGUUGUAGGACUACGUCGUUGCAUGAAGACAUCGGAGAAGAACUUUCUGGAAAGAAAGACCAUAGAGCAUGACAGUUGCGUAUUCGUAUGUUGUCGAAGCAUAGUAGUAUCCUGAGUAGCGCGGAGCACGAGGAAUUCUGCGUGAAUCUGCCGGGACCAUCCGGUAAGGCUAAAUACUCCCGAGAGACCGAUAGCGAACCAGUACCGUGAGGGAAAGGUGAAAAGCACUUCGAACAGAAGAGUGAAAUAGUUCCUGAAACCGUGCGCCUACAAGCGGUCGGAGCUCAGCAAUGAGUGACGGCGUGCCUUUUGCAUAAUGAACCUACGAGUUGCCUUUGCCGGCAAGGUUAAGUGUGACGACACACGUAUCCGAAGCGAAAGCGAGUCUGAAUAGGGCGUAUAGUCGGCAGUGGCAGACGCGAAACCAAGUGAUCUACCCUUGGCCAGGUUGAAGGCUGGGUAACACCAGCUGGAGGACCGCACCAAUAAGCGUUGAAAAGCUUCUGGAUGAGCUGAGGGUAGGGGUGAAAGGCUAAUCAAACUUGGAGAUAGCUCGUACUCCCCGAAAUGCAUUUAGGUGCAGCCUUGUGGGUUACUGAUGUGAGGUAGAGCGACUGAUAAGAUGCGAGGGCUUCACCGCCUAUCAAGUCUUGACAAACUCCGAAUGCGCAUCAGUUUUACCUCAGGAGUGAGGGCAUGGGUGCUAAGGUCCGUGCCCGAGAGGAGAAGAAUCCGGACCACCUGCUAAGGUCCCGAAAUGACAGCUAAGUUAAACUAACGAAGUCUGACUGCUAAGACAGCUAGGAUGUUGGCUUGGAAGCAGCCAUUCAUUUAAAGAGUGCGUAACAGCUCACUAGUCGAGGAGUCUGGCGUGGAUAAUAAUCGGGUAUUAAGUUGUCUACCGAAGCAGUGGGAUCAUUGAAAUGAUCGGUAGGGGAGCAUUCCAGUCAGCGUCGAAGGCGUACCGCGAGGUAUUCUGGAGCGUCUGGAAAAGCAAAUGUAGGUAUAAGUAACGAUAAAGGGGGCGGGAAACCCCCUCGCCGAAAGACUAAGGUUUCCUGAUCAACGCUAAUCGGAUCAGGGUAAGUCGGGUCCUAAGGCUCAGCCGAAGGGCGAUGCCGAUGGCAGAAACGGUUAAUAUUCCGUUACUACCUCCAGGAGUGAUGUGGAGACGCAGUAGUGACAAUGCCGCCAUCUGACGGAAUAGAUGGUUGAAGGGUGUAGAUGUUGAUCUUGGCAGGCAAAUCCACCAUGAGAAUCGAACCUGAUAGUAUGCCGCGUCCCUCGGGACAAGGCAAUAGUGCAUGUAAUCAUGCUGCCAAGAAAAUCCGCUAAACUAAAUCCUGUAGGUACCCGUACCGUAAACGGACACACGUAGUCGGGAUGAAUAUUCUAAGGCGCUUGAGUGAUUCACGGUUAAGGAACUAGGCAAACUGACCCUGUAACUUCGGGAUAAAGGGUCCCUACCCGGUGACGGGAGGGCGCAGAGAAUAGGUCCAGGCAACUGUUUAACAAAAACACAGGGCUGUGCUAAAUCGAAAGAUCCUGUAUACAGCCUGACACCUGCCCGGUGCUGGAAGGUUAAGAGGAGACGUCAUCGUUGAGAGAAGCGUUGAAUUGAAGCCCCAGUAAACGGCGGCCGUAACUAUAACGGUCCUAAGGUAGCGAAAUUCCUUGUC
rnacentral:rRNA from 1 species